CUAGUUGGUGAGGUAACGGCCCACCAAGGCGACGACGGGUAGCCGGCCUGAGAGGGCGACCGGCCACACUGGGACUGAGACACGGCCCAGACUCCUACGGGAGGCAGCAGUGGGGAAUAUUGCGCAAUGGGCGAAAGCCUGACGCAGCGACGCCGCGUGGGGGAUGAAGGCCUUCGGGUUGUAAACCCCUUUCAGCAGGGACGAAGCGAGAGUGACGGUACCUGCAGAAGAAGCGCCGGCUAACUACGUGCCAGCAGCCGCGGUAACACGUAGGGCGCAAGCGUUGUCCGGAAUUAUUGGGCGUAAAGAGCUCGUAGGUGGUUUGUUACGUCUGCUGUGAAAACCUAGGGCUUAACCCUGGGCUUGCAGUGGAUACGGGCAGACUAGAGGUAGGUAGGGGAGAAUGGAAUUCCUGGUGUAGCGGUGAAAUGCGCAGAUAUCAGGAGGAACACCGGUGGCGAAGGCGGUUCUCUGGGCCUUACCUGACACUGAGGAGCGAAAGCGUGGGGAGCGAACAGGAUUAGAUACCCUGGUAGUCCACGCCGUAAACGUUGGGCGCUAGGUGUGGGGUCCUUCCACGGAUUCCGUGCCGCAGCUAACGCAUUAAGCGCCCCGCCUGGGGAGUACGGCCGCAAGGCUAAAACUCAAAGGAAUUGACG
rnacentral:rRNA from 1 species